rnacentral:rRNA from 1 species
CCUACGGGAGGCAGCAGUGGGGAAUAUUGCACAAUGGGCGCAAGCCUGAUGCAGCAACGCCGCGUGAGGGACGACGGCCUUCGGGUUGUAAACCUCUUUUAGUAGGGAAGAAGCGAAAGUGACGGUACCUGCAGAAAAAGCACCGGCUAACUACGUGCCAGCAGCCGCGGUAAUACGUAGGGUGCAAGCGUUGUCCGGAAUUAUUGGGCGUAAAGAGCUCGUAGGCGGUUUGUCGCGUCUGCUGUGAAAACCCCGAGGCUCAACCUCGGGCCUGCAGUGGGUACGGGCAGACUAGAGUGCGGUAGGGGAGAUUGGAAUUCCUGGUGUAGCGGUGGAAUGCGCAGAUAUCAGGAGGAACACCGAUGGCGAAGGCAGAUCUCUGGGCCGUAACUGACGCUGAGGAGCGAAAGCAUGGGGAGCGAACAGGAUUAGAUACCCUGGUAGUCCAUGCCGUAAACGUUGGGAACUAGAUGUAGGGACCAUUCCACGGUUUCUGUGUCGCAGCUAACGCAUUAAGUUCCCCGCCUGGGGAGUACGGCCGCAAGGCUAAAACUUAAAGGAAUUGACGG